ACGUGUAGCGGUGAAAUGCGUAGAGAUGUGGAGGAGACACCAGUGGCGAAGGCGACUCUCUGGUCUGUAACUGACGCUGAGGAGCGAAAGCGUGGGGAGCGAACAGGAUUAGAUACCCUGGUAGUCCACGCCGUAAACGAUGAGUGCUAAGUGUUAGGGGGUUUCCGCCCCUUAGUGCUGCAGCUAACGCAUUAAGCACUCCGCCUGGGGAGUACGGUCGCAAGACUGAAACUCAAAGGAAUUGACGGGGGCCCGCACAAGCGGUGGAGCAUGUGGUUUAAUUCGAAGCAACGCGAAGAACCUUACCAGGUCUUGACAUCCUCUGACAAUCCUAGAGAUAGGACGUCCCCUUCGGGGGCAGAGUGACAGGUGGUGCAUGGUUGUCGUCAGCUCGUGUCGUGAGAUGUUGGGUUAAGUCCCGCAACGAGCGCAACCCUUGAUCUUAGUUGCCAGCAUUCAGUUGGGCACUCUAAGGUGACUGCCGGUGACAAACCGGAGGAAGGUGGGGAUGACGUCAAAUCAUCAUGCCCCUUAUGACCUGGGCUACACACGUGCUACAAUGGACAGAACAAAGGGCAGCGAAACCGCGAGGUUAAGCCAAUCCCACAAAUCUGUUCUCAGUUCGGAUCGCAGUCUGCAACUCGACUGCGUGAAGCUGGAAUCGCUAGUAAUCGCGGAU
rnacentral:rRNA from 1 species